UUCUUGCUGUGGUUGGACUUCUUCACUCGGAACACCUCGGAGCCUUCUGUGAACAGACAGGUGACACGUGAUGCGGCAAAAGUGAGACGAAGGGAACCGAGCACAGCGUGCAGGGACACAUCCAAGCUCACUGUGGAUAGGAGACCACUGCUGCCCCAGCAGAAGGCCUCACACCAGGGCCUUGAUUUAAUCAUUGCCCAGCACAAGGAGGGGCCAAGCAGGCAACAAAGCUGGCCCACCAGCCUCCCUGCCAUCAAUGCUCCCCGUGGGUUGACCCAGGAGAGGCCAACCCUCACCCUCCACCCGGGUUGUUUGAAGAUGAGAGGAACUGGGUGUGAAGGGAGGGAUGUGCAAGAGGAGGAGAGAUCAGCCAGGAGGCAGAAGAGGCAGGACUACCACAGAUUCUGAGCUUCAAAACGCCUCUUGAGAAACCUAUGGGUGAUGUCACGCAUACACUGCCCAUACUUUAUACUGUCGCUGGUCACACUGUGGCAUAUAUCCUUCCUUAACCUGUGUGGAAAUGUUUAUCCCUUUUAAUAUUAUGAGCUUGUUUUUGUGAGGAUCUUCAUCCACACUGAAAUGUUAAAACAAUACAAGAGCAGCUACAUCUCUUCUUCUUUUUCCUUUUACUGUGCCCUGUUACUUUAUGAUCACAUGCACUGUGUUUCAAUAUAGAUCAUGUUAGUGUUUAUAUGAUUGCAACAUUAGAUUAAUGAGAAAUUCAGUUAGCGUGGUUGUGGUCUAAGGUGCAUUCUAAUUCCAGAACUGCAAUCUCUCCUCUACUCUACUGGAUCUUGAUCCAAUUUGGAUACAUUUGCACUGAAGCUAUUGAGGUCUAAACAAGCCCUAAGAAAGAGAGGGAGAGCGAAGGUGGAGCAUGGCAGGAGGACAUGAUGAGGCGGAGGAGAGGAGAGCGGGAUAGCAGGGGAUCAAUCAAUCAUCGCUCCUGUUGGUUUAUAUUGACUCUGCAGUCCCACUGGGCUUCCACGGUCAAUGUGCUUUCAGGCAUUUUGCGUGGGUCGAUGAAGGAGCGUGCCUGGCUUAACACUCACCUUUUAUAGGGAUAUGUGCGUGUCUGUUUGUAUAUUGGUUGUUUUUAUUCAAGCGUUUUCACAAAUGUAUGCAUGUAAAGAGAGAGUGUUUAUAACACAUAAAACCACUGGGCAUCAGGGCUUUGCCAUGUGCUGAAGACUGAGCUCUUUUACAAUGAGUUGACCGUCCUACCAAACUGCAGUGUGCCCAGUGGCAGCCUCCCAAAAUCUAACAGCGUCAGUGUUGGCUUUGGCCCAUCGACCGCGUUUGACAUUCAUUCUGUCAUAUAAACGGAUGAUAAAAAAACUCUCUACACCACACGAUACAAAUAUCCGUGUAACCAAUUAGCCUACAUUGAUGUCAGUCUACGGCGGUGAUGUCAGUUUGAGUUACAAUAGUUGUAAUGAUUCAUAUAAAGUUGUUCCAAGCAGCUUGAUCAGUUAAUUGGAUGUCAGCAGAUCCAAUGGACUUUUGAAGGGCGGCAAUAAUGUUUUUUUUUAGCAUUCCCUUAUAUCUUACUUAUUGAAAUAUGUUAAAAAAAGGCCUGAGCAAAAUGGAUGGAACCUUCUAAUAGUCACAUCAGUAUGUGUAUAUUAUGAUAGAAUAUAUUUUCUGGAAAUUAAAUGAAGAAACCAAUAUCUGUUCACUUCCAGUUGCUUAAGCCACCAUACUGUUCUCUAGUCUGUUUAAGUGCCUUGAUGGCACAUGGACAAUACUGUUUCAUCCUCCAACCACACGACUGCCUGAACAUAACAAGGACAUUUUGGUCAAUACUUAGUCAGGUCAGGUUUUGACUCCAGCAAUGCAAUCCUCAACAAACUCAUUUACCCACUACGACUCAUUCAGAAUUCUGCAGCAUGCAUUAUUAAUUAAAUUCUCAAAGUCUCCUGUUAUUCCUCUGCUGAUUCACUGACACCAGCUCCAUGUAUCACAAUGGAUCAACUUUAAAACCUUACUAUUAACCUUUAUUUCAUAUGAGUUAUUAAGUACUGUAACCUUCAUAAUCUCCUGCUUAUCCCACACUACGGUUUCAUCAGCAGGUCUAGUGGCAUCAGCCAUCAACCUUAAAUGUGUAACUCCCUUCCCUUCCCCUCACAGCCACAGUAUGUGGAUUGAGAAGGGCUAUAAAUAUAAGGUUAUAAAUUAAGACAGCAUCUUAAUUUAUAAAAUCGAUUUUCUUACUUAUUGCUGCCCUCCGGGAAUAUACACAACUUAUUUGUUGAUCGUAAUAAAAUUUUAUUACUUUGUUGUUGUUAUAUCUAAAGAGAGAGAGCUUGUGGUUAAUACAACCCAGAUUACAAAAAAAGUUGGCAUGGUUUGUAGAGCGUAAAUUUGCCCUGGAGGACACAACGUCCAUGAAUUCCGUCCAUGAUGUGCACACUUUUCCACUUUCUGUCAGUUCAUCUCAGAUAAGCUCGUCUCCAGAGAAGAUGGCGGCGUUUGUGGCUGUUGUUGGUCUGUCCUUCUAUUUGCACAGAAUGCAGUGUUCCUGAAAUCAUAGCAAUAUCCUUGGCACAAUCGUGUCAUUUUUUAUUGAAGUGCAGCCUGAGGGCUCGCAGAUUACAGGCAUUCAGUAGCCUUGUUUCCAUAAAUGUAUUUUGAUGUGCAUUUUGAAGAACCACAUUAGAAAAGGUUGAUGGAAACAUCAAAAUUAAUUAUUUUAUUUGUGUCAUCUUGUUGCUCUGAUUUUCUGACAGGACAAUUGUUGUCGCAUAUCUUGUAAACUAAUCUGUCUCUGUGAGUGCUAGACAAAUAAAUUUCACUGACUUAAUUACUUACUAAUAUUCAAAUAAUGGUAGUGGAUGGAAACAAGCAUUCAUUCACAUUUUCCUUUGCUGAAUUACUUGAAAGUAGAUUAAAAUUUAUUGUGGUAUUUAGUGAUGGAAAUGUGGCUAUUGUUGGUCCCUUUUGCAGAGAUUUCUCCAGAUUAUCUGAUUUUAAUGAUGUUAUUGAAUAGGUGCAACUGUACAUUGAAAAAUGUCGUACUUGGACUAUUUUCCCUUACAGUGUUCUGAAUCUCCCCCCAUCCUGUGAUUGACCCUUUCAAGGACGCCCCUUUCAUACCCAGUCAUGUUCACAAUGAACCUGCUUACCUGUGGAAUGUUCCAAACAGGAAUGCUGCCAGCCAUUCUCCAGCCACGUCCAGCCCUGUUUCGUCUCCACUCCUGUUUAUGGAUUCUUACCAACACCAACCCUGCACCAUUCUGGAUCACUUUCACCACUGAAGUCAUCCUGUCAUGUCAUGUUUGAGAGUUGUGUGGAAACUGUCGCCACUAAUUUCAACAAACUACUUUAACUGAUCUUGGUCUUUGGCUUGUGUUUGCAUGUUGGGUCCAUUACUGUUCAUCUAAACAUUUUGGUGUCUCUAGAGAUAAUAAGGAGAAACAGAAAGUGGCAUCAUUGUUACAAUGACAGACGUAAAUGCAGCUAUUGUAUUUAUUUCUUUUUUCCCGUAGAACUUGAAGUGCCCACUGUCAUGUCCUCACACCCCCCUUGACAAACUCUCAGGUGGAGUCCCGGGAGGACUGGUGAGAAGAAACACAGCAGAGGUGUCUUGAGCACAGAGUAAUACAUAAAAUCACAGAAUGUGAUUAAAUAUGAAGACCAGCAGCUUCUUCUUUGACACUGAGCAGACUGUUGGCGCAACUCCCAGACCACUGAGGUACUUUCACUUUAGAGACCUUAGAAACAGGUCCCAACUCUUGUUUAGUAUUGUGUUAUACUACAGUGUAUGAUCUCUGAUAGAGCUCAGUUUCGGAGCUGGUGAGUGGACCGCUUUAAGUCAAGAAUGUCAGCCUUCCCUUUAGUUUAGCCUGUGAUUAAUGGCACGGUUUUGUUUUUGUGAACAGCUAACAGGACCAACAAGUUGAAAAAUACUGGAUGAAAUUAUGUCGAGUGUGUAUACUGUAAGCCGUCUGGUAGUGAUGUAAUGCAUUUUCGAGAGUCUAAUGUACUUUUUAUUGAUGCUGCGAGUGGGUGUGUAGUACUUUGUUUCUGAGGCUCCCGGUGGUGUCAAAGGCAUAAAUCAAUAAAACAU